rnacentral:rRNA from 1 species
UACGUAGGGAGCGAGCGUUGUCCGGAUUUAUUGGGCGUAAAGAGCUCGUAGGCGGUUUGGUAAGUCGGGUGUGAAAGCCCAGGGCUCAACCCUGGAAGUGCACUCGAUACUGCGAAGCUUGAGUAUCGGAGAGGUUGGUGGAAUUCUCGGUGUAGAGGUGAAAUUCGUAGAUAUCGAGAGGAACACCGGUGGCGAAGGCGGCCAACUGGACGAAUACUGACGCUGAGACACGAAAGCGUGGGGAGCAAACAGG